rnacentral:rRNA from 1 species
AUCGAACGCUGGCGGCAGGCCUAACACAUGCAAGUCGAGCGGAUGAAGGGAGCUUGCUCCUGGAUUCCUCGGCGGACCGGUGAGUCAUGCCUAUGACUCUGCCUUGUUGUGGGGGAUAACGUCCUGAAACGGUCUCUAUUACCGCAUCCGUCCUGUGAGCGAAAGUGGGGGAUCUUCGGAUCUAAUGCCUUCCGAUGAGCCUAGGUCGGAUUCGCUAGUGUGUGGGGUAACGGCCUACCAAGGCGACGCUCCGUAACUGGUCUUAGAGGAUGAUCAGUCACAUGGGAAGUGAGACAGGGUCCAGACUCCUACGGGAGGCAGCAGUGGGGAAUAUUGGGCAAUGGGCGAAAGACUGAUCCAGCCAUGCCGCGUGAGUGAAGAAGGUCUUCGGAUUGUAGAGCACUUUAAGUUGGGAGGAAGUGCAGUAAGUUAAUACCGUGCUGUUUUGACGGUACCAACAGAAUAAGCACCGGCUAACUUCGUG